GAUGAACGCUAGCGGGAGGCCUAACACAUGCAAGCCGAGCGGUAGAGAUUCUUCGGAAUCUUGAGAGCGGCGUACGGGUGCGGAACACGUGUGCAACCUGCCUUUAUCAGGGGGAUAGCCUUUCGAAAGGAAGAUUAAUACCCCAUAAUAUAUUGAGUGGCAUCACGUGAUAUUGAAAACUCCGGUGGAUAAAGAUGGGCACGCGGAAGGUUAGAUAGUUGGUAGGGUAACGGGCUACCAAGUCAGUGAUCUUUAGGGGGCCUGAGAGGGUGGUCCCCCACACUGGUACUGAGACACGGACCAGACUCCUACGGGAGGCAGCAGUGAGGAAUAUUGGACAAUGGGUGAGAGCCUGAUCCAGCCAUCCCGCGUGAAGGAUGACGGCCCUAUGGGUUGUAAACUUCUUUUGUAUAGGGAUAAACCUUUCCACGUGUGGAAAGCUGAAGGUACUGUACGAAUAAGCACCGGCUAACUCCGUGCCAGCCGCCGCAGUAACAC
rnacentral:rRNA from 1 species